rnacentral:rRNA from 1 species
AUGCUCUUCCGCCGGAUAUUUCCCUGUCAGGCGCGUCAAGAGCCCAUGUGGAAGUUCGAUCCGGCCGGUUCUCGGACCCUGCAGCGGUUCUUCGACACGAAGCACGAAGACAUUUGGAAGCUGCUCUUCAAGAACCAGAAGUCAUGGCCGGAGACAACCGAAGACCUCGGCUAUGAUAGCACCCACGCUGCGACCCCUGGCUGGACAAAGAAAGCGGAAUGGAUUCAUUGUCCGGCUCUACUACCCUAA